rnacentral:rRNA from 1 species
AGAGUUUGAUCCUGGCUCAGAUUGAACGCUGGCGGCAGGCCUAACACAUGCAAGUCGAACGGUAGCACAGAGAGCUUGCUCUCGGGUGACGAGUGGCGGACGGGUGAGUAAUGUCUGGGAAACUGCCCGAUGGAGGGGGAUAACUACUGGAAACGGUAGCUAAUACCGCAUAACGUCGCAAGACCAAAGAGGGGGACCUUCGGGCCUCUUGCCAUCGGAUGUGCCCAGAUGGGAUUAGCUAGUAGGUGGGGUAACGGCUCACCUAGGCGACGAUCCCUAGCUGGUCUGAGAGGAUGACCAGCCACACUGGAACUGAGACACGGUCCAGACUCCUACGGGAGGCAGCAGUGGGGAAUAUUGCACAAUGGGCGCAAGCCUGAUGCAGCCAUGCCGCGUGUAUGAAGAAGGCCUUCGGGUUGUAAAGUACUUUCAGCGAGGAGGAAGGCAUUGUGGUUAAUAACCACAGUGAUUGACGUUACUCGCAGAAGAAGCACCGGCUAACUCCGUGCCAGCAGCCGCGGUA